rnacentral:lncRNA from 1 species
AUGCAUUUUCGAGAAAUCUAAUGCUACAGAGUAUGCCAAUAUUGCGAGGAGUGGAAUCUGAUGCAACAAUGUUUCUAUUAGAUAUAUAUCUGACAUAUGGUCGAACUGAUCCGUAAUCCAAACCAAACAACAAAUAUCAUGACACAUCAAAACAAAAUACAAAAUUCGUCCGAUUAGAGUUGUAUAGAUAAAACCGAUGCCCUUUAAACAAUGUUAUUCAUUAAUGCAUUUACCCUUUAAUAGUAUAAUUUAAAACAAAGGUGUAGCUAUUGUACCACACCUUUUAUGAUUACGGGUUUUUAUUUAGGCAAAGAUUCCCGAAGAAAAAAUAUAAUCAUUGUCAGCAUUUGCCC